CGCCCGCUUUAGUACUUACUACAUUGUUACACCGCAAACCACUGAUUUAUAUCAAAUUUUAAUACACCCUUUCUGGCUACGUACCAGAGGGUCGGAGGUUCGAAUCCUUCCGGGCGCGCCA
rnacentral:tRNA from 1 species